CUGGCCUACGGGGCGCAGCAGUGAGGAAUAUUGGUCAAUGGCCGGAAGGCUGAACCAGCCAAGUCGCGUGAGGGACGACUGCCCUAUGGGUUGUAAACCUCUUUUAUAAGGGAAGAAUAAAUGCUACGUGUAGCAUGAUGCCUGUACCUUAUGAAUAAGCAUCGGCUAACUCCGUGCCAGCAGCCGCGGUAAUACGGAGGAUGCGAGCGUUAUCCGGAUUUAUUGGGUUUAAAGGGUGCGUAGGCGGGACGGUAAGUCAGCGGUAAAAAUGCGGAGCUCAACUCCGUCGAGCCGUUGAAACUGCC
rnacentral:rRNA from 1 species